rnacentral:rRNA from 1 species
AACGCGAAGAACCUUACCUGGGCUCGAAAUGCUAUGGACAGUCCGUGAAAGCGGAUCUUCCCCUUAAAAGGACCGUAGUAUAGGUGCUGCAUGGCUGUCGUCAGCUCGUGUCGUGAGAUGUUGGGUUAAGUCCCGCAACGAGCGCAACCCUUGUCCUGUGUUGCCAUCAUUCAGUUGGGAACUCGCAGGAGACCGCCAGCGAUAAGCUGGAGGAAGGUGGGGAUGACGUCAAGUCCUCAUGGCCUUUAUGUCCAGGGCUACACACGUGCUACAAUGGACGGUACAAUACGUCGCUAACCCGCGAGGGGGAGCCAAUCGCUAAAAACCGUUCUCAGUUCGGAUUGUUCUCUGCAACUCGAGAGCAUGAAGCUGGAAUCGCUAGUAAUCGCGGAUCAGCACGCCGCGGUGAAUACGUUCCCGGGCCUUGUACACACCGGUACUA